GGGGAAUAUUGCACAAUGGAGGAAACUCUGAUGCAGCGAUGCCGCGUGAGGGAAGAAGGUUUUAGGAUUGUAAACCUCUGUCUUCAGGGACGAAAAAAGGACGGUACCUGAGGAGGAAGCUCCGGCUAACUACGUGCCAGCAGCCGCGGUAAUACGUAGGGAGCGAGCGUUGUCCGGAAUUACUGGGUGUAAAGGGAGCGUAGGCGGGAUCGCAAGUCAGAUGUGAAAACUAUGGGCUUAACCCAUAAACUGCAUUUGAAACUGUGGUUCUUGAGUGAAGUAGAGGUAAGCGGAAUUCCUAGUGUAGCGGUGAAAUGCGUAGAUAUUAGGAGGAACAUCAGUGGCGAAGGCGGCUUACUGGGCUUUAACUGACGCUGAGGCUCGAAAGCGUGGGGAGCAAACAGGAUUAGAUACCCUGGUAGUCCACGCCGUAAACGAUGAUUACUAGGUGUGGGGGGACUGACCCCUUCCGUGCCGCAGCAAACGCAAUAAGUAAUCCACCUGGGGAGUACGACCGCAAGGUUGAAACUCAAAGGAAUUGACGGGGGCCCGCACAAGCAGUGGAGUAUGUGGUUUAAUUCGAAGCAACGCGAAGAACCUUACCAGGUCUUGACAUCCGAUGCAUAGUGCAGAGAUGCAUGAAGUCCUUCGGGACAUCGAGACAGGUGGUGCAUGGUUGUCGUCAGCUCGUGUCGUGAGAUGUUGGGUUAAGUCCCGCAACGAGCGCAACCCUUAUUGCCAGUUACUACGAAAGAGGACUCUGGCGAGACUGCCGUUGACAAAACGGAGGAAGGUGGGGAUGACGUCAAAUCAUCAUGCCCUUUAUGACCUGGGCUACACACGUACUACAAUGGCGUUUAACAAAGAGAAGCAAGACCGCGAGGUGGAGCAAAACUCAAAAACAACGUCUCAGUUCAGAUUGCAGGCUGCAACUCGCCUGCAUGAAGUCGGAAUUGCUAGUAAUCGCGGAUCAGCAUGCCGCGGUGAAUACGUUCCCG
rnacentral:rRNA from 1 species